AGUGAACGCUGGCGGUAGGCCUAACACAUGCAAGUCGAACGGCAGCACAGUAAGAGCUUGCUCUUACGGGUGGCGAGUGGCGGACGGGUGAGGAAUACAUCGGUAUCUACUUUUUCGUGGGGGAUAACGUAGGGAAACUUACGCUAAUACCGCAUACGACCUACGGGUGAAAGCAGGGGAUCUUCGGACCUUGCGCGAUUGAAUGAGCCGAUGUCGGAUUAGCUAGUUGGCGGGGUAAAGGCCCACCAAGGCGACGAUCCGUAGCUGGUCUGAGAGGAUGAUCAGCCACACUGGAACUGAGACACGGUCCAGACUCCUACGGGAGGCAGCAGUGGGGAAUAUUGGACAAUGGGCGCAAGCCUGAUCCAGCCAUACCGCGUGGGUGAAGAAGGCCUUCGGGUUGUAAAGCCCUUUUGUUGGGAAAGAAAAGCAGCAGGUUAAUACCCCGCUGUUCUGACGGUACCCAAAGAAUAAGCGCCGGCUAACUUCGUG
rnacentral:rRNA from 1 species